UAGACUCCCGCUCCCACAAUGCACCGGGCUCGUUCCCCUUCACAGCCCGUUUCUCCCGCACCGGGCUGACACUGAACCCGUUAAAUUACCGCCGGUGGAACGAGCCGCAAGGCGGCGCCCGGACGGGACCCCCCUCCCAGCACGCCCGGCACCAGAGUGGGACCCUGCGGGGCCGGGGCCGGACUCGGGGCUCCUGGGCAAGCCAGAGCCCAACGUUGUGCCCAACUGGACAAGCAAGCAGGCUCCACGUCAGCUCCUCGCAGCCUGGCUCUGCAGGCAGCAGCAAAUACUGGUGAGAAAAAAGAACAUGGAGCCUCCUUCACCAGACUCCAGGUCACCUUCUUUACUCUUUGAAUAAACCAUUCUUUGAGGUGUAACUCUCAGAAGAAUCCACUUCAAGGGUCAACUGGACUAUAAAAGAAAGGGGAAAGAAAACCCAAGGGAUCUGUCUCUCUCUCUCCUCCCCUAAGAAGACAAAGGAACCAGCCCUUUGACUUUGAGGGGUGACCCUGACCGAAGAAUUUGGUCAGCCACAUGCCUGGAAAUAUAUGCACCUUUCAUCCAAAGAUCUCAAAGCACUCUACACACAGGAGCUUCACAACACAAUUUUGCAUAUGGAAAAACUGAGAAACAGUGUAAGUGCCUGAGAUUACACAGCAAGUCAGAUGUAGGACUAUGAAUAUUAGUUAGAAAGCAUUAUGUUGUAGUUUACAAUCAUUAGAAUAUAUUGGUAUGUCUCAACAACUUUUUUCAAUUAAACCAUUUUGAAAGUUUCCAAUAAAUAUUCAGGGAAGAGAAGUGAACUUAAAAUACAUGCGUAAUAAUAAAAGUUGUGUUAUAAAUGGCAUCUCACUCAAUACAGCUUUUCUCUGUGUAUUCAGUCUCCUUAUGGACAAUAUAGUUUACUAUUUUUUAUUCCUGUUAACACUGCAGACUCUAAACAGUUAUGUCAGAGUGAGCUCAAUUCUAUUCUGGCUCAUGAAUCACCAACAGAAUUAUUUACUAGGGGCUCAAUCCUGCAAGUUGCUAAGCAUCCAGCCCUGGUCCAGCAAAGCACUUAGCAUGUGAUUAACUCUUUAAGCACAUGAGCAUUCUCACUGACAUCAAUGCAAAGCUUUGCUGGACAGGGGCCAGAGUGCCCAACACCUCACAAGAUCAAGUCUCAAGAUUACAUUGCAAAAUUUGUAUCACUGGUGGUGAUGAGUGAGCAAGAAUUCCAGGAUGAGAUUGCAGACCUGGGAUUUAGGAAAAUAAAGUUUUUAUGUAUUAACCGAGCAGAUUUGACCUGGAAGUCUUAGAAACACAAAGAUGGAACCCCCAUGAUGACAUUUUUACAGAGUAACUUUACAAAGUAGAAUCACAGUAAGUCUGACUUCCACUUAUCAGGUUCCAUAUUACUUCAUGUUAUACCUGACUGCCUGCAUGUAGUUUAGUAGUUUGCCUUCAGCCAGUCAGAAAGUUUGAUGUAAAUUAAAGAUGAGAAGUAAGCUCUUCCAUUCAGAUGAGUUAUACAGGUUUCUGUCAUGAGAUCUAAAAAUGAUAAUGGUAACAUAUCUAAAACAAGUUAAUUAUCCAUUUUGACAUACCUUAUUAGUCCACGAUACAUGAUAUAAUCACACCACCUGUCAUUAUCCGUACUGUCAAUAUCCUAUGGGGAAAAAAUAAAGCAAAUAUGACAAAGUUUCUUCAAAGAUGGACCUCAGGUCAGGGCAUGUCUCCACUAUAGCUGCUGCAGUGCCACAGUGCAGAUGCUUCCUAUAUUGACAGAAGGCAUUUUUUCCAUCAAUGUAGGUAAUCCAUGACCCUGAGCAGCACUAGUUAGGUCGACAGAAGAAUUCUGCCAUCAACCUAAUCUGCGUCUACACUGGGGGUUCGGUAGACUUAAUUACAAUGCUCAAGGGUAUGAAUUUUUCACACUCCUGAGCAACGUAGCUAGGUUGAUCUAAAUUUUAAAUGUAGACCAGGCCUCAGUAAUAGAAUCUGUAUGGGGAUACAGAACAAGGAAAUGAUUUGCUUGAGAUGUAGUCAAAAGUUGCAAAGGAAACAGAAUCCUGAUGUUAGAUCCAGGCAGGUAAAUAAAGGAAGACUGAUUUUUUUUAAGGUAUUUUAUUUCUAAAAUAAUAGUUCCUAACAGGUAAUUGAAAAAUGGAACAGAUUUUAAAACAAGUUUUUUUUUAAAAAAGUAUGUGUAUUUUUAACCCUAUAAUCUGCAUAGGUUACUGAUUUGGAAUCUUAAAUUCAUCUUUUGUAAAUUAGUCAGUUGUUAUAGUUAGUAGUAGUUCUACAUUACCUUAACA